AGGAACAGAUAGACCACAAGGACGGCGUGAUGUUUCUGAAGGAGGAAGCUGGUCGCAAGAGCAGGGUUAGUGAUGAAACCAAAACAAUGUUGGUGGUAGAUGGCGCGUUGCCCAUUGAAAAGUUUGAUCGCACCUUUUUCUACAACAUGGCAUUGAGAGAAACAUCUGAUAUCAUCAACCGAGUCUCCGUCACCCUGGAUGUGGAAACAGCGCAUGCGGUGCUCGAGGUGUCUGAGGAUCG